AAUCAACGCUGGCGGCGUGCCUCAGACAUGCAAGUCGAACGAUUAAACUUUCCUUCGGGAAAGAUAUAAAGUGGCGCACGGGUGAGUAACACGUAAGUAAUCUACCCUCGAGUGGGGAAUAACGUCCGGAAACGGACGCUAAUACCGCAUAAUGCAGCGGCACCGCAAGGUGACAGUUGUUAAAGAUUUAUCGCUUGAGGAGGAGCUUGCGGCAGAUUAGCUAGUUGGUAAGGAAUGGCUUACCAAGGCUACGAUCUGUAACCGGUCUAAGAGGACGGUCGGUCACACUGACACUGAAUAACGGGUCAGACUCCUACGGGAGGCAGCAGUCGGGAAUUUUGGGCAAUGGGCGAAAGCCUGACCCAGCAACGCCGCGUGAAGGAUGAAGUAUUUCGGUAUGUAAACUUCGAAAGAAUGGGAAGAAUAAAUGACGGUACCAUUUAUAAGGUCCGGCUAACUACGUGCCAGCAGCCGCCGUAAU
rnacentral:rRNA from 1 species